GUGCUCAUUUCAAUAGCAUAUAUACUAAAAUUGAAAUAAUACACAGAUAAUUAGCAUGGCCUCUGCACAAGGAUGACACACAGAUUUGUGAAGCAUUUCAUAUUCUU
rnacentral:snRNA from 1 species